UUGCUUCCAAUUGCUUCUACGGUGUGCUGGUGACGGGAGGGGAACAACCACCAUCUCUCUAUAUGUUUACCCAUUUACCAGGAAAUAUGUUUAUACUGUUUUCCAAUCAGGAUUUACCACAAGCCGGGAGUUCCACACCUAAUGACCAGGCCAAACCCAGCCCACUGUCAACAGAGAAAAGUCGGCCUCAAACAUGAGAGAUUUUAAAUCACAAUGGACGUUCGAGGAGCAUGACUGCCAGCACUGUGAGCAGCAGGGCUGUCUCCAGCCGUCGACAGGACCAAACAGUAUCUCGGAAGCAUCAGCGAACACGUGUGGACGGAAGGUGCAGCACCCCCGUGAACCGGCCUCGCCCCACCACGGCCUCUCCUUCCAGCAGUCCCUCGGCUCCCCCCAGCCCUGCUCCACGGUGCCCGCCCCCAGCCCAAGGUGCUCACGACUGCCCACAAGAACCCAAACUCAGCCAUCGGAAGGCUGGGCCGCGGGGCUCCGGAGCCUCCAGAGAUGACUCUGCCCCACAGGAUGCCGGCUUCAUCUUCCACAGCCCGCAGGCAGUUCCAGGCACCCCUUCUUGCUGGCAAAAUGGGAGUUCACAGGCCAGAGGAGCCAUCAGUCCUAACACAGCACAAAGAAGGAAACACGACCAUGAGAGAACGGAGAAGGGCCACCCUAGGCAGCCAGCCAAAGGGGCAAGAGGUAAAAAGAGUGGAAGUGGCGCGCCGUCGAGAUUCCCCAAAAGAAAAUAGAAAACCAUCUUGGACAACCAGCUAUAGCGCGUACCAACAAAUAAAAAGAAGACAUUCUGGAGUUCCCGCUGUGAC
rnacentral:lncRNA from 1 species